UCUAGGGAGGCAGCAGUGAGGAAUAUUGGUCAAUGGCCGGAAGGCUGAACCAGCCAAGCCGCGUGAGGGAGGAAGGCGCAGAGCGUCGCAGACCUCUUUUGCCGGGGGACAAAAGGCCGGACUCGUCCGGUCCUGAGGGUACCCGGAGAAAAAGCAUCGGCUAACUCCGUGCCAGCAGCCGCGGUAAUACGGAGGAUGCGAGCGUUAUCCGGAUUUAUUGGGUUUAAAGGGUGCGCAGGCGGUCUGUUAAGUCAGCGGUCAAAGCCCGGGGCUCAACCCCGGCCCGCCGCUGAAACUGGCAGUCU
rnacentral:rRNA from 1 species